GUUUCCGUAGGUGAACCUGCGGAAGGAUCAUUAUUGAAAAAGACGAGACGCCCCGUUUUUUCGUAAAAUGGGUUCAAUACCCACAACCGUGUAUACCUUACCUUUUGUUGCUUUGGCAGGCCGCCUCCGGGCGUUGGCUUCGGCUGACAGCGCCUGCCAGAGGACCCAAACUCUGUGUUUAGUGAUGUCUGAGUAAUAUAUAAUAUUUUAAAACUUUCAACAACGGAUCUCUUGGUUCUG
rnacentral:misc_RNA from 1 species